GAUGAAGAACGUAGCGAAAUGCGAUAAGUAAUGUGAAUUGCAGAAUUCAGUGAAUCAUCGAAUCUUUGAACGCACAUUGCGCCCGCCAGUAUUCUGGCGAGCAUGCCUGUCUGAGCGUCAUUUCAACCCUCAUGCCCCUAGGGCGUGGUGUUGGGGAUCGGCCAAAGCCCGCGAGGGACGGCCGGCCCCUAAAUCUAGUGGCGGACCCGUCGUGGCCUCCUCUGCGAAGUAGUGAUAUUCCGCAUCGGAGAGCGACGAGCCCCUGCCGUUAAACCCCCAACUUUCCAAGGUUGACCUCAGAUCAGGUAGGAAUACCCGCUGAACUUAAGCAUAUCAAUAGCGGAGGA
rnacentral:misc_RNA from 1 species